UUGUGUGUUUGAUUUUGGUAUUGAUCUUUCCGUUGUCUGUUUUUUGUUUGCUUGUUUGCUGUUGUUGUUGUUGUAGGUCUCAAGGAAUCCAACCCAGGGCCUCUAGCAUGCUAAGCAGUAAGUACAAGUUCUAUCAUGGUUGAGCUGUUCCCCAUCCUCUGGCCAUCACUUUUUUUUUUUUUUCCUAUGGACCUCUAGUUCUGGCUGAGGAAGAAGGAAUGGAGCAGUUUUGGGAGAGGGGGGAGAAGAAGGAAGGUCAGAACUUGUUUGUGGUUUGUUGUUGUUGUUACUAGGACUUGACAAAGGGACACUUUGCCACAGAGUCACUUCCCCAGCUCUUUUUUAUUAUUUAUUUAUAUAUUUAUUAUUUACUUUGAAACAAGUUCUCACUGAGUUAUGUGGAGCCUUACUCAAUUACUGAAGAUGGCCUUGAACUUGGAGAUCUUCCCAUCUUUCUCAGCCAUCAGAGUCUCUAGGAUGAUAGAAGAAAUGGGCCACCAUGCCUGAUCUUUUGUUAUCUUACACUCCGUGCUAGAAGCAAUGAAUGGAGAGACACUACUUUCACCACUGGUUGAGAUGUUUCAGUGUUGUGAAGACAGGAAAAUAAUCAAAGAUGUGGAUGUUAGUGAUAGUGGUAAUAUAUGGUCGGUGGUGGUUACUUAGGAACAAGAACCAAGGAGCCUGAGCAUGGGAAAGAAACACCUGUCAAUCAGCAGAGUCUUCUGGCCAAUCCUGGAUUUCAUCCAGUUUCACCAACCAACUUUACCAGGAUAAGAGACUCUAAAAACACCUUUUCCUGUCCCAAGCCCUUCCCUUCCUGCCUUAAGCCCCAUAAACUUCCAGUCCCAUGGAGCUCCCACCCGUUUUCUCCUGUGACUCUUCUCCUGUUUACUCUGUCUGUCUGAUCAAGUUCUGCCCUGGAGCAUCAUCUCAAAUAAAGCCUCAUUCAGCGGCCUUUUAAAAUCUGUCUCCUUUGGUCAACAUCCAUUGCUGGACCUCACACCCUCCCCUACCAGAAAAAAUAAAAUAAAAUCACAAAGCAUUGAGAGGGCCUGCUAGGGGUGUUAACUCCAUGUGAUUUCUGCCCAGUCCUCUGAAUUUCAAAGUGAAGAAAUUCAGUGAAGUGCAGUUAAACGGAGGGAGUAACUAUGAUUCUCUUAAGGCCCUCAAAUGCCUCCUCUUCUAAUUAGUGAUGCAUGAAUAGAUGAAAAAGAUUCCCAGUUUCUCUAUGUACUAUCCAGCAAAACCACAGCUAAAGGAAUGGGCUCUGCAGACCCAGUGAGGAAAGAACUAUAGAAACAAAGAACCAGAAAGAAGCCCAGCUUGCCCCCCAUGCCCCCCAAAGGGCUCCAUUUUUUCUUCCUCAGCCAGAGCUGGAAGUCCAAAGAACAAUAACAACAAUAACAAAACAAACAAUCAAAAAUAACAACAACAAAAACAGGACAGCCAGCAGUGUUGGAAACAGCACAGUCAUGGUAGAGCUUAAAGGAGCUUAGUGUGCCAGAUCCCCUGGGUUGGUUUCUUUGGGACCUACAACAAAGAAACUAAAGAAACACCAAUCCACCCUGCCCCCAAGGAAAAGAAAACGAACCACAGUAGAUGCAUUGCAUUCUCCUCCCUUAAUGGACUAUCUAGUACCACAGAUUUUGAACUCAGCUCUUCUCCUGAAAGGAAAUGAUAAAGCUUGGUUUAGUGGCAGAAGCCUGUCGCUGGAGGAAAGUCCACUUGAGAUGAAUUCGUGACCCAACCACAUAGAGACCCCAGUGUACAAACAAGGCAACAUGCCAGCUUAAAGUUCAAAGGAAGAUCAGAUUGUUUUUAAUGACUUGAAGGCUUAUUCUCUCAUGUAUUACUCUUCAUCUCUGAUCAGUUCUUGGGAGACCCAAAGUAUCAGGAGGUGGGGGUGUGGUUGUCACUUAAUAGUAGAGUACUUGCCUAGCACGUGUGAGGCACUGGGUUUGAUUCUCAGCACCAUGUAAGAAUAAAUAAGACAAAAUUAUUGUGUCCAUGUGAUAGUAGGAGCAAAUGUGACUCCAUUUGUUUUAUGACUUCAUCCUGUAAAACAACCAUGCCAAGUAGAAGAGCCAUGACUGGGGCAAGAUGUUUUCCUUUUGCUAUAGAAAUCUUUAAGAACACAAAACUACUUAAUGGGGUAUUGUUUAUGUAACUAUUGGGGUAUUGUUUAUGUAACUAGGGUAACGGGGCUCUGUUUCUGUAACUGGGGUGACUGGGCUAACUGUGAUUGUUUAGGUUUCCCUCCACUUGACUGCAUUCUCCUGCUUCUGUAACCUGGCUUGCUUGCAUUGGCUGGACCCCCUGAACAUCCCUUUUGCAGUUUUCAGGCUUAUAAGGAGUGCCCUUGCAAUUGUUCGGGGCUGAUCAGGGGAAUGGCUUUAUGUUCUGGUCAGCUGCCAGCAGUGUGCUUCAAUUAAGGCUUGAUUCGAUUAUAUGUGAGUGGUCUGGAAGUCAGUUUAUGAAACCCUGAGAUGAAGCUUUAACUAUAACAUCCAUCUCUAACUAAAAAUAAAUAAAUUAAUAAAUAAAUAAUUUAAGGUUUGAGGAGGUGGGAGAUGGACCCUUAGAGUUGCAAGAGGGGAUGGGAAGGUAGGUCAGUGGUACAGCUACCUAAAGUAGGCUAGACUUGCAUGUCAGGUGGGUUCUGAUUUCAGUUCAAUCCAUUACCAGGAUGGAUUUUUUUUUAAAGUUUUUUUUUUUAAGACUCCUAAGAUUUUCAGUGUGGCUUGUGAGGACCACAUAGUCCAGUUAGAGCUUUCUUUUACUAGAGGAGUUGAAGAUAAAAAUUAAGUAAGGAAGAAUAAGCCUAAAGUCUCAGUAAAAUAGAGAGGGAGAGAAAGGGUGAGAAGUGAGUGAAAGAAAAAGAGAGAAAGUGAGAAACCAGCCUCUACCUCAGAGCAAAGCCUGUCCAAGGAAGGGGGCCUGACCCUUGUCCUUGGAAAGAUCCACAUAGCACUCCUAGGCACAUACCCACCCUGCUGAGUUGUUUAUCUACAAAUAACAGGAGAGAUCUGCUGCACCAGGUGUCCCUGACUCAGUCAGGCUAGGUGAGGACCCAUAGGAACCCCUAGCAAACACCAAUCAGCGUGAGACAGGGAAAAUACCUGGGAUGUCAAAUGACCACCCCCAGUUGUUUAUGGUGGUUGAUAACAUUUUAGGAAACCAUUUAUUUCAGUACAUACUCCCCCUUGUGGCUUAAACCAAUCAGUUCAAAUGAAUCCCCUCUUAUACUCACCAAUCACCCUUACCCAAGUUUUCCCUGCCACUGAAUGUGAUAAUCAGUGUUAAGUGUUGUCCUUUGAAUUUUCCCGUAGUGUGUGAUGAUUUGCUAAGAGAUGCUAUGAUAUAUGUGACAUCCCUGCCUUCCCCAAAGAGUGUACAAAACUGCUGCAAACCCUGCCUCGGGCCUCUCUGUAUCACCAGUUGCUCUGUAUGCGUGGAGGACUGAGCAAGCUUGCAAUAAACACCUCUUUGCUGAUGACAUCGAUUUUGGUCUCUGGUGGUCUCUUGGGGGUCCUGAAUUCGAGCAUAAGAAGAGAAAUUUCCUAAACCACAAAACCCAGUGCAUAUCUUAGACU
ensembl:lincRNA uncharacterized LOC110597243